rnacentral:tRNA from 1 species
GUGGGUGUAGCUCAAUGGCAGAGCAAAAGCUUGUGGAGCUUUCGGUUGUGGGUUCAAGUCCCAUCACCCACC